UGUAACUAUCAAAAUUCAGUGGCCACGGUAUGUCACAGAUUUUUAUGAAACUUUGUGUGUAACAAUAUUAUGAUAGAUAUAAAACAAAAAGGGCAUGCAAAGGUUUGACUUAGCAACGGUUGCCAUGGAAACCGAUCCUCUAACAACAGCUGGACAAGAUAUGCACAUAUAUGUUAUAUUUUGAAUAAACCAAAAUUAAACGCUAUUGUUUAUAAAAACAACAAUUGUAAAAAUUAUUUUGAGCUAGGUUCUAGCUUUUAGAAAUUUUUUUGUAUUUAUUUAAUCCUUGAAAACAAUAGAAAUAAUUAUUUUUAUGAUGUAUAAGGGUUUGAUAUAUGUAAUUUUUAGAGAGGGAUAAAAUAUAUUUGCCCAGUCAUUUGGUGUAAACUCACAUGCUAGUAAAAUGUAUUGAAUCUUACUUUAAAAAAGUACAGAAACACAUUUGUGGAGAAACCAAAGGUAAACACAUAAACCAGUAGUUUCCUCUGGUGCACAAACCAAAAUACACCAGAAAGAGUUAUUGCCCUUUGUAACACUCUCUUGUAUUGGAGAUAUGAACAGCCUUCAUUUGUUUUCAGUAUGGCAGGAGGUGGAAAUUGAGUUUUUAUUCAAUUUGUUCUUCAGAAGUUUAUCAAUAUCAGAUGCUCUUUGUUCACUUAUUCACUACCACGAUAUUUAUCUUCAAUUGUGCUAAAGGAUUCUGGUUUAUUUCAUGGAAUACAAAUCCGUUUGAUCUUUGCCAUAGUCACCGGACUCUAGCAUCCAAUCGUCUACGUAUUCGUAGAAAAAGUAAAUGCUGUGUGGAAUUUAACGCUUUAUUGCAUCACAUCCGACUAAAAAAAUGACCAGGGAAACAGAAGGCUGACAGACAUAUUCAUAGAAAAAGCCCUGCAUGUUGCCGUGUUGGAACUUGUAUUGACCUGUAUGAGCAUCAUACUGUGCAAAUCACCUAAAGAUGGAGUUGACCAAGUUGCUGACUUUGAGGAGAACUUGAAGAGCAGAAGAUGCAUUCCAUGACUCUUAUGUGAUAUAGAAGACAAAGAAGAGCUCUUGAGAAUGGAAAAAAAACUGCGAGUUUUACAGUCAAUGAACACACCUCACGACACAAGUCCAUCCUGAUUCAGUAAACUAUUCUUCUAAGGAAACACCAUGACUUAGUUAAGAUCAAGUUUUGGUGUCAGAAGACUAAUGUAACUAAAGCAUUGCAAAAUUAACCUGCAAGUGUCUUAUGUGAGCCUACUGAAUAAGGAUUCAUUACUGAACAGUUGAAGGAAAAUCACUAUUAUAAUGAUUUUUAAAAAAAGAUGAUUGUGUUGUUUGGAUAACAUUGUGAUCUAUGUUUGUUGAAUAAACAACUUUGCAAAAAUGAGUUGUUCUGUGUUAAUAUUAUAAAUUUACUAAUUACUGGUAUGUCAACAUAGAUUACAGUAACACUGAACAAACUUCAAUAAAUUUUAAAGUUUCAUGCAGUUUCUGCAGUAGAAAAUGACACCUAUUGAUUUUCUGGUCCAAAGGUCACCAGGUGCAAUACAAUACUCUGUACAAUUGAUGUCUGACCAGUUUCUUCAGAACCCUUUGAUUGAUAGUGAUAUUUCAUACAGGGGUUGGUCACUGGUAGUAUAUGACCCCCAUUGAUUUUCAGGUCAAAAGAUUAAAAAUAGCAGGGGCCUCCGUGGCCGAGUGGUUGGAGCAUAGCGUUCAAAAUGACACGGCCUCAGUCGGCGCGGGUUCGAAUCCCGCUCGCGCUGGUAUUAAGUGAGAAAGUUUCCCAAUUUACUUUCGGAAGGUCGGUGGUCUCUUCCCAGGUACAUUGUAUCUGGGUUCUCACUUUCACCAAUAAACACUGGGCACCACCAGAAAACUGAAAAAUUGUUGAGUGUGGCGGAAAAUAUCAAUAAAUCAAUCAAUUAAAAAUGACUAGGUGCAAUGUAGCUAGUACUCUAUGCAAUGGUGUCCCCCCAAUAUCUUGGGCCUGUUGUUCAAUUAUGAUAUUUCAUAUGUUGGUUGGUUAUGAAUAGUAGAUGACCCUAAUGAUUUCCAGGUCAAAGGUCAACAAAUACAAGGCAGUACAAUGAACAAGUUAUUGGUAUCUACCCAAUAUCUUGAGAAGACUUUUUAUAGUUAUUGAUAAUAGUUUACAUGACAAUACAGUACAUGUAAUAUAGCUCGUUUAUGGAAA